AACGAACGCUGGCGGCAUGCCUAACACAUGCAAGUCGAACGAGACCUUCGGGUCCAGUGGCGCACGGGUGCGUAACGCGUGGGAAUCUGCCCUUGGGUUCGGAAUAACAGUUAGAAAUGACUGCUAACACCGGAUAAUGUCUUCGGACCAAAGAUUUAUCGCCCAGGGAUGAGCCCGCGUAGGAUUAGCUAGUUGGUGAGGUAACGGCUCACCAAGCCUACGAUCUGUAGCUGGUCUGAGAGGAUGAUCAGCCACACUGGGACUGAGAUACGGCCCAGACUCCUACGGGAGGCAGCAGUGGGGAAUAUUGGACAAUGGGGGGCAACCCGUGAUCCAGCAAUGCCGCGUGAGUGAUGAAGGCCUUAGGGUUGUAAAGCUCUUUUACCAGGGACGAUGAUGACGGUACCUGGAGAAUAAGCCCCGGCUAACUUCGUGCCAGCAGCCGCGGUAAU
rnacentral:rRNA from 1 species